rnacentral:lncRNA from 1 species
CCCAACUCAUCAAGUGUAUACAUUAAAAAUGUAUGGUUUUUUUGUGUUUCAGUUACAUCUCAAUAAAGAGUUGAAGAAAAUCAGUGGAUCUGUGUUCCGCCUUGGGAGCAAAAAGGAAUGUGGUCUGAGAAGGGGAGGCCGGGGGAACUCAGAACACAGGAUCUGCACGUUCUUAGAAAGAGCUAUAGAAUGUAAGGAUUUACAUAAUUAAAGAGAAGAAUCAUUUUGUUAACUAAUUAUGAGAUGAUUGAUGGCCAGAGUUAAGGGCAGUGACUUGGCCUUAGGGCCUGGGCCUCUAGCUGAUGGCAGAUUUAACAGGACCGUCUGGGAGAGAGCUCUAAGUAUCUACGGAGUUGAAGGAACAUCAAAUGAAAGUAGGGGAGCUAACAUCCUGUCUCUGCCAGCUGAGCUUAGAAGGCAAAGAAGAACAUUGGUAAUAAGACUUAGAAGUUGUCCCAAGCUAACGCCGGAAACUAUAAAGGACAUCUUGGUCUCCAGGGUGAGGAAUUCAUUUUACUCUUAA